ACUAUUUUGAGAAUAGAACUCCAGUUCUGGCUCAUUUUUCUCUCUGUUAGCCGCACUCAUCAGGCAGACUGCUGCUUCUUUUCUUUGAGAGGUGGUUGCUGAACAAACAAGAAGAAAAGUGGGGGAACAAAGAUCUGAACUAGAUUUCGGCUUAAGCCACAAACUUUCCCCAAAUGCAUAGCCAUUCUUGAAUGAGCUCCAUUUCAGAGCCAUCAAUGUUCUCUCACAGUCAACCAGGACAGCCUGAGUCAGAAAGAUGGAUUCCAGAACUCCUUCUGACCCUGGGAAGAUGAUUUCCCUGCUGUCUUUUCCUAAUCCUCGAUUGCCAUAUAGGCAGUUGUUUGGGAGAGAGACCUGUAAACAGCUCCUGGGAAGGGAGAGAAGAUGAUAUUGGGCCCUUUCAGAUCUCUUCCAGAACCACAAAUAGAUCUCCUGGACCUGUGCAGAGAACAGAACCAGCUGUCUCUUCAACAGCAUCCCCAGCAACCCACAGCCUUGAUGGAUGGCUCUCUUCAGACGCAGCAAGAGCACAAUAUUCCACAACUGUCCUGCCAAAGUGUCUCAACUGUGUGCUUCAUUCACUCUCCAUGAUUAUCAAAUCCUUGAAGACUGCCAACAAAGAGGGGAGGGGAUAAAAUGGGGCUCAACUAGGACCACACAUCCCCCACCACCACCCAAACCUGUGCUGCGAGAUCGUCCCCACACAUUCCAGGUGGUGCCUCCUGUCCCUGCGACGUGGUGGUGGAGGAAAAUUGCAGGGAAGAACCAGCCAGAGACUCCAGCCAAAGGAACAGCUGAAGAUGCAGGCAAAGCUAGGAUCUCCAGACAUUCAGGGAAUGUUCUACAAUUUUUCCUGCACUGUGUCUGCCCUUAGCUGAUUGACUGUUUCCUCCAGUUCUGCCCCUCCCACACAAUCUCUUCAUCUCAGUUUUACUCCACACCUGACCCUCUUACCCACUUCUCCUAUGCCCUGUUGUCCUCCUCCCACUCCCCCUUGCACUCCACAUUCCCUCUCCAUUCAGUUUUCUUUCCAUUUAGCUUAUCCCCUCCUAACUAAACCCCAUCCACCCCCCAAAAAAUCAUGGAACUAACAUGAUGUUUUCGGCCAUCACAUUGUUCGCUCUGAUUGUGUGUUCUAUCACUUCUCCUACUCUGUGUCUGUCUUCUCUAUUAAAUUUAGAUUUUAGAUUGUAAGCUCUCUGGUGUGGGGACCGUCUAUUCUGUAUGCUUAGUACAAUGAAGCACCAUUCUUGGCUGGUUCUUAGGAACUGCUGUAAUGAACAUGAUUAACCAUACAACAUGCUUUUACCUGAUCACUGUGCACUGUCUCCAUUCUCCAGUGGGGGCAAAUGGGCAUGAGGUGUUAAACUGAAGCAUGAACCUACAGGUACUAGUACAGAUGGAUACAAACCUGAAGGAAAGAAAAAAACAAGUACAUUUUUAUAUGAAACUGUGUUGGAUACCACUCUCAGCCCGCUUACUGGGGAUAUUUACAAAUUAGGAGAGUUCGUGGAAUUUGCUCACUUUUUUCAGGUAAUUUUAAUAUGUGUUGCAUAGGUGACUCAAAGAAACUGAAAUUCUGCCACAUCUGCUUAGAUUCACUCCUACAGAGGAGAAUUUGCCUGUGGCUGCUUGAUAAACAUUUAAAUCAGUGUUUUCUGACUUAAAAAAACCUAUUUGAACACUACCAAUGGCAAGCACUGAUUAGAUUCAAAAUAGGGGGUUUAAAAAACAAGCAAACAGAAAAUGAAGUUUUAAAGGGGACUUUACUGAGCAAGGCUACAAUUAAACUGUUCUGUAAACUAGCAAGAUAAAUAGUAUUAAAGAGCUUUGGGCUGAGGAUCUAGAUAAUCAAAUAACCAACAUAUUAUCAAAGGAAACGUGGUCCCUUUUGGGUUUUGGGUCCAGUUCAUUCCACUGCAGAAUACAAGUUGUGGCUGCAAGCAAUGGAAAGUGCAUUGGAAACAAAGGAAUAAUUCUGUUGGGGGUCCAGUUCAGCCCACAAAAUGAAAGGGCUGGAAUUUGAGGAGCAAAGCUAAAGCAUCUGGGACAUGUGCUGUUUCAGUACAUCUCCUGUAGAGCAUCCACCAGCAGAGCUCCUAGAGGCCCACAUCAGGAGUUGAACAUCACAAUCCCUUUAGAAAAGCAGUGGCACCAGAACAAGAUCCAGAUUUCUCGGUGUGACUUCUGGAGUAGAAUCAAUGCUAAAUCACUUCAAUGGGGGGCUCUUUUUACAAUAUUUCUAAGCAGGAUGACAAGUGUCUGAAAUUUUGCAAGAAAGCAUUUUGGAAAAUAUCCAGCCCAUGUGGUAGGAUUUCCAGCAUUUCAUAGACUCCAGAGCCUUCAAUAGUAUCCAAUAUACUGAUGAUUAUCUGAACUAAACCCCAAACUUCUUGAAGGUUUGACUAGAUGAGUUCUCUGAUCUUGAUUUAUGCAGAGAAAAGUACAAGAUUUUCCAGUUGUUUCUUUUUUCAAAGAUCUCUCCCCAAAUUAUAUCAUGCAUGUUACAUCUGUAUCUAAUAAAUGGACUUACUACUUCUGGUAAAUCGUUUUAUGCACACAACACAUGAGUCUUCUGAGUUGAGCUGAAAU